rfam:Gossypium raimondii Chr11_contig_500, whole genome shotgun sequence.
AACCCAUGGUGAGGGCACCUUCUCAAUAAAUCAUUGUAUCUAUCCCAUGCAUCAUAUAAGGUUUCUAAAUCGAUCUGAUCAACGGAAAAGAUAUCAUUCCUCAACUC